UAGUGGCGGACGGGUGAGUAACGCGUGGGAAUCUGCCCUCAGGAGGGGGAUAACGGUUGGAAACGACCGCUAAUACCCCAUAUGCCGAGAGGUGAAACGAAAUUCGCCUGAGGAUGAGCCCGCGUCUGAUUAGCUAGUUGGUGGGGUAAAGGCCUACCAAGGCAUCGAUCAGUAGCUGGUCUGAGAGGACGAUCAGCCACACUGGGACUGAGACACGGCCCAGACUCCUACGGGAGGCAGCAGUGGGGAAUUUUCCGCAAUGGGCGCAAGCCUGGCGGAGCAACGCCGCGUGAGGGAUGAAGGCCUCUGGGCUGUAAACCUCUUUUCUCAAGGAAGAAGAACUGACGGUACUUGAGGAAUAAGCCACGGCUAA
rnacentral:rRNA from 1 species